rnacentral:rRNA from 1 species
UGAGUUUGAUUCUGGCUCAGAACGAACGCUGGCGGCAGGCCUAACACAUGCAAGUCGAGCGCGCCUUCGGGCGAGCGGCGGACGGGUUAGUAACGCGUGGGAACGUGCCCAGAUCUACGGAAUAGCCACUGGAAACGGUGAGUAAUACCGUAUACGCCCUUCGGGGGAAAGAUUUAUCGGAUUUGGAUCGGCCCGCGUUAGAUUAGGUAGUUGGUGGGGUAACGGCCUACCAAGCCUACGAUCUAUAGCUGGUUUUAGAGGAUGAUCAGCAACACUGGGACUGAGACACGGCCCAGACUCCUACGGGAGGCAGCAGUGGGGAAUCUUGGACAAUGGGGGCAACCCUGAUCCAGCCAUGCCGCGUGAGUGAAGAAGGCCCUAGGGUCGUAAAACUCUUUCGCCUGUGAUGAUAAUGACAGUAGCAGGUAAAGAAACCCCGGCUAACUCCGUGCCAGCAGCCGCGGUAAUACGGAGGGGGUUAGCGUUGUUCGGAAUUACUGGGCGUAAAGCGCACGUAGGCGGAUUAGAAAGUUAGAGGUGAAAUCCCGGGGCUCAACCCCGGAACUGCCUUUAAAACUACUAGUCUAGAGUUCGAGAGAGGUGAGUGGAAUUCCGAGUGUAG